UACGUAGGGUGCAAGCGUUAAUCGGAAUUACUGGGCGUAAAGCGUGCGCAGGCGGUUUUGUAAGUCUGAUGUGAAAUCCCCGGGCUCAACCUGGGAAUUGCAUUGGAGACUGCAAGGCUAGAAUCUGGCAGAGGGGGGUUGAAUUCCACGUGUAGCAGUGAAAUGCGUAGAGAUGUGGAGGAACACCGAUGGCGAAGGCAGCCCCCUGGGUCAAGAUUGACGCUCAUGCACGAAAGCGUGGGGAGCAAACAGG
rnacentral:rRNA from 1 species